UAGCUCUGCAAGAGAGAUCUAAGGAAGAGAUCGGUGUGUAGACGCUACGCCACGAGAAAGAGCCUUGGUAUCGUCCAAUUCCUGACGUAUGCAACCACCUUGAUGGAUCCACCCUUUGCGCUUCAACCCAGCUUUGCAUUACGGGGGUGACUGUGGGAGGAAAGCCGAGGAAGAACGAUGGGAGGCGAGUCCAUUGUGGGACUGGCGAGAAUCGAACGGAUAAAACGAGGAAAAGCCGAAGGCUCGAAGAGAUGCUGCGGAAAAAACCUAUCAGAGUGAUUUGUAUCCUGUGCAAAAUUGAUAUUCUCGUUCUUCUUUAUAUUAAAAUUAAGUAUCUAUUGAAUUAUAUAUUUAUAUAGAAUUUUUAAUUUAUCAAUUAUAUUCGUUUUCUAUAUUAUAUUAAACCCCUAUAAUUCAUUCAUUUUUCAUUUAUUUUGCUUAAACAUCACUUCAUGCACAAUAUAUAUGUUUACAUUUACGAUGCCUAGCAGGUCUUUUUACUAUGUAUCCAGUCUUUAUUUUAUUCAGAUGGCACAUGUGACAUAUCUCAUUUUAACGAGAUGCCGAGGAAUGUGUCUGGCACCAUUAACGUCACGGGACAAAAAUACGGGCUUUGACGUAUAACUUAUAAUUACGCAAACAGAUUUCUUUGCUUUCAAUUUCAGGAAAACAAGCUUACGACAGGCCGGGCGUAAACUUUUUCGCUGUAUAUAUGUAAUUAGAUGCUCGCUCGGUAAGCUCUUGUUGUUUUUGAUAAUGCUAAAGACCGAGAUAAUUAGUACAACACGUAUAACGAGCCCCCGGUUGUUACGACGAAUGGUGUCUUGGGCUACGUCGCGAUAGUCCUGGUUGGCCGGCGGCCAAGCUUAACUGGGGUAAGAAGCGGGUUUUGCGUCACCAGGACUCUUCUCUUUGCGACGUUCCGCACGUUUCGCUUUUCGCCCCUGGAAAUCUAACACGCAGCAAGCCAUUGUGUCUACGUCACCUCUUUGGAAGUGUUCGACGAGAGGCAGGCGUAAAAACUGGCGUAGACUCGGUCGACCAUUGAAUCCGAUAAGGGACUAGGGAAAUCCGAUAGGGGUUGUGGUGACACAUUUUACGCGAUUAACUCUAGACAAUAACCAUUGGAUUUAUUAUAUAUGACAAUAAUAUAUAGAGCUAUCAAAAAUAUAAUAGAUAUAUUAAAAAAUUAUUAUUAUAUGGGUCAAGCAACAGGAAAAGAAUUAAUGUGAUUAAAUGGUAGUCAAGUAAAUAAAGUUAAUAAUAUAACUCUUAUAUUGCUUUAAAAAUAAAAUUGGCUAAAUUUUUUAUUAUGUCAAUUAAAUUGAAGUGCACUUGAAAUUAAUGAAAUUCAGAUCGAUAAAAAAUUAAAAUAUUUUUAUAUUAAAAAAAAUACCCUUCUCUCAAUCAUGAAUAAACUGAGGGGUCAAUUUCGGCCUUGUUUCGCAAGUUCCAUUGUUUAUCGACGAGAUAAAACCGAUGAGAUAUACGUUUUUUUAAUGAGGAUACGAGAGAGCGUGUUUUGCGAAUAGAAGUGUAUCUGAAAACGUCGAGAACUUACACACUACUUUCGCACUCUCGAUGACUAGCUCAUCGGAGCCAAUAGUUCUCGCGACACAUUUCGGUUUUCUGGAAUUGCCGAACAAGAAGGGAAGACGGAAGCUCUACCAUCAAUUAAUCAGACGUCGGUGCGGUGUUUGUGCGCCUAUCUGCCGACGGCCUCGUUGGGAUUUGCACUUGAAUGCCCAUGAAUAAUCAUACGAGGGCAUGAUCGAUCGCCCGUGAAUCAGACACGACGACGGCUUCCGUCGUCGUUCCGAUUCAUCGCCGAUUUGACAUGACGGCGUCUCUGUCCAUGAUGGUGCAUCGAUCCCCCGUACGCUGUAAAGAGAACGCAUUAUUCCUUUUCUGAUUUUCCAGUCUCGCCGUUACACACGCGAUCCGUGCUUUGUGCUGUUGAUGUAACAUACUGAUUCAAUUUCCAUAAUUUGAAUCGUUUACUCGAAAUUAUAUUGCAAUUUAUAGAUUUAACCGUAGAUGUGAUUAUAUGUAGUGGGACGGGGUAUAAGAAGAGGGUGAUAGAGAGUCGAGAAAGGGAGGGAGGGAGGUGUUAAUUGUGAGGCUGCAGAUGGCCAGGGCGUGCAGGGCUAAAGAGAUAUCCUAUGUAUAGAAAAUAUGUAUAUUUUGAAGAGACUGCAAAUCCCGAGGGGACGCAGUAUAAUAAAUAUCUAUCUAUAGAUUUAACCACCAAUUGUCCAUAAUUGACAAGCAAUUGAUUUUUUUUUAAUUAACGAAGAAAUUAAUGGCUCUUAUGGACUUGUUAUUAAAAAAAUUGUAAUUAUUUAAUAUUUAUUUAUUAUCUGCAAAUCUUUAUACAGUUAUUAAUUUUUGAUUUUUGGAAAAUGUAUUGUUACACGAAGAUUUUAAGUUUUAUUGUAAUUUACAUUUAAAUAUUAGUUUUCCAUAAUUUCUGACGAUAAAAUUAAUGGUUUAGUAAAAAAUGGACUAUAUUCGAUAUUCAUUUAUUAUUAGAGAAUCUGUAUAAAAUAAUGACUGUUGAUUUGAUUUUUGAAAAAUAAUUGCGUUGUUACCUGAAGAUUUAAAUUUUCACAUUUUUGUCUUUAGUAACUUUAUUAUUUAAUGAGCAUUGAAUUUAUCGUCAUAUUUGCUGAAAUGUUGCGUAAGAUACAUCACAUUAUAUAUUGUACCGAGAAUCUUGUUACGUGACGAAAUUGCGAGCCGGAAUUGUUCUUUUACUUACUUUACAGCCUGCCACGCAUGUUUGUUCGUACUUUUCUCAUGUCACACGAACGGAAAGUCGGCGAGCUCCGGCAAAUUGAAUUACUUCGCGUUUACUCAGGCGUCUCGGCAAACUUCUUGAGGAGGAGGUGAAAGUCUUUUCUUCGUUCUACGUGAGUUUUCUCGUUCACGCGCCCUCCCCUGCCGUUUAGCGUCACGGCAUUUUUAAUGAUCGCGCGGUAAAACGAAGGUAAACUUCGACUCGUAAAUGGCAAUUCUCGUAUCCAAGCCGUGCGUGCGACGCACCUUCGUGAAUUACCGAAAGUUCCACCCCUUCCAACGUCGUCUCCCCCAUCGCUCGUAUUUUGCGAUACAAUCAGGCGAACGCAAUGUUGACUCCGCGUUUAAUUUCAGACAUUCGCGUGUCCGUGUUGUUUAAUGAGCGAGAAUUAAUCGGCGCUUGAAUUUCCGGUCAUGUUGCAUUAAUUGAAGGGUUAUUCUGCCACCAAAUAACAUCGAGCUCUGCGUUGCAUGGAUUGAGAAUUAAAAACUUCUCUGCCUGUAUUAUAUGACAAGCACACCAAGUACGAGAAAUAUCAUAAUUUUUCCUACUUUCUCUUUUAUUUAUAUAAAUUAUAUGCAAUACAUUUCGCGUAUUGAUUUUUUUAAUUCUUUGCAAGUGCUGAGCAUUAUUUAAAGAAUUUUUUUAAACAUAUCGCUAUUUGAUUAAACAUUUUCAGAUAAUUUCUAUUCAAUUUUUGGAAGAUGAAUCAGUAUAAACGCACGUUUGACGUCAAAGGAAUGUGUGAUUUUGCUUUGUCAUUUAGCAACUGAAGUUUAAAUUUUAAUUUAUUUCUUUAUCAUUCAAUUUGCAGUUUCAUGAAACUCACGAAGUUUGAUCGUUGAUUCGAAAAAUCGGCGAUAUACAUGUGCGCAGGUAUAUCUGCGAGCAUUGAACGGUAUCGAGAGAAAUGUUCGUUCUCCCUGUCAGAUUUUUCAGAAAAUGUAGCACGCGAGAUAGAACGAGUGAGCGUACAACCGUGGAUGCCAAUCGCGUGGGGCUCGAAAUGUCGACGUCGACUAAACUUCUCGACAAUAGGGACCAGCGAGUGAAAUGGAAAAUUUUUGAAGAUCACGACACGUCGAGAGCUGACGCUCCUGUGUAUCGAAGUGUCGUCGGAAUGUGACCUGAAUCUCGGGAUGCGCUUGACACACUUCCGUUGCCAAUCCCGCGCUUCGUCGCCUUUACGCGAACUUCAUCGGGCAGAUCGUUCGAUCUUCAUGCGAGCUUUCGUGCGAGACGGGAACAUGACGAAGUGGUUUCACCUCGACAAAUUCGCAAGCUUGUGUCGGAAACGCCACACUCGGAAAUUUGCUGUCAGCUGUCGCGGGUGCCUAGCCAUGACAUCGAAAUAGUACCAAAGUACGAAGGUAUGCAUUUAGAAAAGCACAUAAAGGACGGGUGAAUCCGCGCUGGCAUCUGAAAGCUGAAUCUUUCCCUUGAACUUGCUUGAACUUACUACACAGUUGAUAACAGCUAUAAGGUAUUCUUAAUAGUAUCAGUAUAGAUGAAAGAAAAUUUCUAGCGAGGGAGAGGAGAGGAAAGUCCUGAUCGAACAACAUUAUUGUCGAAUGUGCUUAAAGUAAUUUGGAAUCGGAACGAAUGUUAAGAAUAAGAGAAAUAUAAAGGAUGGUGCAACGCGAAUGAGUAAUAAGAGUACGACGGGAAUAAAAGAGGGAUAAGUCCA
rnacentral:lncRNA from 1 species